rnacentral:rRNA from 1 species
UACGUAGGCAGCGAGCGUUGUUCGGAGUUACUGGGCGUAAAGGGUGUGUAGGCGGUUGUUUAAGUUUGGUGUGAAAUCUCCCGGCUCAACUGGGAGGGUGCGCCGAAUACUGAAUGACUAGAGUGCGGGAGAGGAAAGUGGAAUUCCUGGUGUAGCGGUGAAAAUGCGUAGAUAUCAGGAGGAACACCGGUGGUGUAGACGGCUUCUGGACCGUAACUGACGCUGAGACACGAAAGCAUGGGUAGCAAACAGG